CUCAACUGGAGUAAUUCUAUAUCUUGGUUUUGAAACAGGGAGCGUCAGUCUACCUUUGGCCAUCUGGCUGUUUUAAGCUUUGCCCCCAUGCUGUAUGAUUUUAGCUUAAAAUCUCUUCCGUUGCAGCUCCGCUUUUAUUGAAUUCAUCAAAAGCAAACUUUCCCCGAGUUUUUUUUAAGAAGGGCUAAAAUAAUAAGUCGACCACUGUGACAUUCUCUGGGCUUAGGCCAUUUUUCAUAACGCAGCUGAUACGCUUUUGUGCAGCUAAGGCGACUACACAGAUGAAUAACGAGAAAAGUCUCUCGAAAACUAAAGCUUCCAGCUUUCCCCAUCUUUAAAAAGUUAACUGAAAUGAGAGGUACAUAUUAAAAACACCACACCAAGGAUCAGGCAUCACUUUUAUACCUCCGAAUGACAACGAUGCUUUUUAAACAACUUCUGCACACACACACACACACACCCCGCAUAUACACACACACGCACACAAACUUUACAGAUUGUGAAACUGCCCAGGUGGUGUUUAAAGAUCCAUAGUCAGUGAGUUGUAAAGAAAUAGGAGAAUUUUGAGGCAGAUUAUACUUUUAAAACGACAUGACAAUCUCCCGCCCUUUGUUUUUCUUUGUUUUUUGUUUUUUCUUUUCUUUUCCCCCCCCCCCCAUCUUUUACUGUAUCCACCGUGUUGAAUGUAGCGUCUUGAAGAAGCAAAUUUUCACAGCACUCAAGAUGAAUCGCACCAAAUGUAAUAUGUUGGCAGGCUGAGCAGAUUACAGUUUUGGAGUCAUCAGUAGGAGAGAACCCAGCAAACUGACAGACCUGAAAUCAUGUCCUUUGAUUGUAAUUGACAGGAAAAGCGUUUAAGCAAGUAUGGAAGGGUCGAGCGGUUUCAGAAACACUGGCGUGAGGGCAGGCUAUGGGGAAGCAAUGCAGAGGAUUUUGUUAUAUCUCUCUGAACUCUGGAAUCAAGCUCUAUAAGACCACGAGAGGGGAGGAUUUUGUGAAGUAGGAGAAGUGCCUCUGCUCACAAACAUAUGGAA